GUGGGUAUAACUCAGUGGUAGAGCGCAUGCUUAGCAUGCACGAGGUCCUGGGUUCAGUCCCCAGUACCUCCA
rnacentral:tRNA from 1 species